CAAGGAGGAAGGACACUUGGUGGAGGCUCCAAACCAGGAGCCACUGCAGGAGACAGGGAUCCCAAGAACCAGAUAGGAGACCUGUUGCCUACAGCCAACCAACUGGAGUCGGAGUCCCAGGGACCUGCCUGUGCCAAGGAGCAGAGACCCAGUCAACUUACGGACCACAGCUUCAGAAGACAGGUUUGUAUCUGUGAAAUGGAGAGCCCUUUGAAAUGGCAAAGGGUACCCUGUUCUUGGCAACAAAUUCUCAUCUCAGACCUGACUAACUGCACUAAACAAAUGUUCUACAGGAUAUUUAUCCACAAAGAGUAACUUGUAAGGGCUCGCAAGUGCUACAUGGUUUACAAGAGCGGUGGUUUAUGACAAAACUUGGAACGCUUCACCUCUAGGUGCAGAGGAUCUGGAAUUUUUGUGAAUAGCCAAUGUCAGGGGAUGGAUAUCACAGGGGAAUGAUUCAAAGGGACUUGGGAAUUGAGGUGCACCUAUUGUUAAUCUGCCUGAUGAAGGAAGGGCUGGCAUAGCCAAGAGGAGAGCAUUUGAGUGGCUGAAAGGGUAGUACUGUUAGAGAGCUGACUCCCAGCCACCACAAAAAGACUCCCUCUCACUGGAAGCAGGGGGCAACAAGGGGGACUCACAGUACCAUCACAGUAACUAUCACUGCCUUGUACUUUCAUUCAAAAUGCAGAAACUGGGCAUUUAAAAGAGGUAACUAUUGUAUUGUCCUCAAUUGCUAUGGCCCCCUUGUAAAAGGUGUCUGUACAGAAUCAUAUCCAGAUUGAUCUGGGGAGAUUCUGUCAAUCUCUGGGUCUUGAGUGUUGGCAAUUGUCUCUUCUCUUCAGGUUCAUUCUGGUGAUGUACUUCCCCACCCACUUAAAAACAAAACAAAACAAAAAAAAACUUCCCUAGUUCCUCUGUGCAAGUCACUUUUUCUUGCCUAUCCAGCCUCUCCUUCCCACCUAACCUUGCAGACACAGGUGCCGGCUUCCUCCUUUCCUCGGGGGUGCUUGGCCCUACCCGGCCUCUUCCUGCCCAUUUCCACCCCCUCCCCUGAGUGCACCCUGUCCCCACUCCUCCCCCUCAUCCCCCAGUGCCUCCUGCA